GCAGAUAAACACUGUGAAAGAGCUAUUUGAGAGAGUUGGCGAUGACGAGUUAGAGCAAGAUCCGUGCGUUAGGGUUAUGAUGGAGGAGACGGAGGAAGGGAAGAAAGUCACAAGAAAUAACGGCAAGAAAUAUGUCGCAGUAUGGAGGAGAAUGGAAGAUCCGCAAUGGCCAUGACGUGCCAAGACCAUCAUCUGCAGUUUUGCACAUAUUUGAAAAUGGAAGAUACGGUGUUUUUAAGGCCAUUUUGAAGAAAGAUGGUGCAAGUUUCGAUUUUGAUUUAAAAAGGCACCCUUAAGAUAUGGGUGGCUGCGACUGCAAACCCCGGAAAGGGAGCCUAUUUGAUAAUUCAAUACCGUUGAAACAAGUAGCAUCAAGGACGAAUCCCGUUGAUACUUGAAAUUUCAGGCACGAACUCUUGGCGAAUGAGCAAUACAAGAACUGGCAACAAUGAUAGCUAUAUAUGAAAAAAUAUUGUCAAAAUUCCCACAAUUAUAUCCAUCAAAAUUAAAUCUGUUCGCAGCCACCACCUCCCGUAUCAUAUUCUCAUAGCGCCAAAGAUUGGAGCUCAGCUUUAGAAAAUGGCAAACAAAACUAAUGACAGCACGCGAAGAACACAAAAGCAAACCCAGAAAUCAAGAAGACCGAAUACAUCCCCUUCAAAAAACAACGCUCACGAUGAUAGUCAUGCUAAUUCAUCAGAAGGACCCAAAAUUCAUACCGGUUUGCGCUCAGCAUGGCGCAGGGUUUCAGAGCAGAACAGAGGCAACAAUCUUCCCCAAGCAGGUUGUCUGUCGACAAGGCUGCUUUGACCUUCGAACCAAGAUUUUUGUAUUCCGCAGCGGUUAUGUUGACCUAAAAAAAAGAAAAAAAAAAGAAGAAAAAUUCAUCAAAAGGUAAUUAAGCCUUUAGUCUUCUGCCCUCGCAAGCUUCGCACACAGCUGUGUCGGUGGAGCCAAUAAUCGGUCGCCCGUUCUUCGUGAAUCUCUGUUUCCCUUCCCUGACGAAAAAGCGCCCUUCAGGCCCGAAGCUGCCACUACACUCGCUGCACACGAAGCACUUCUCAUGCCACUCCCCACCCAGAGCAGUGACCACAAGAUCGUCGAGCACAAGCUGCUUGCACCCCUGACAGCGGGAGGCAGUUCGCUUAGAAUGACAACGGACGCACCACGCAUACCCAGCAUGUUCCACGAACGGGGUAGUCGGUGUGAAGGGGUCACCGCAUUCGGCACAAAAGAAGUGCCCGACAUGCCACUCCGCCCCACACGCGACGACAACCUCGCCUUCUAUAGGCGUCUUGCAGCUCUUGCACCGUGGGCUGAAAAGCUCGUGGAAAUCUAGGUGGCAGUAAAAUCUCAGAGCAUUGGCUUCUUCGUCGUUGGAGUCGGCAUCCGCGAGCCUUUCGGCUCGUUUACCUUCAGGUUCCUGGUAGAAGGCGACACACUCAAGUUGGGUGUGGCAAUGGUGACAUGAAAAACAUUCAGGAUGGAAACGGGAUCCACAGGCUGUUACGACGCGGCCGGCUAUGGGUAGCCCGCAAGCCGAGCAGGAAGCGGUCGGAACGCCAGUUCGGGUAUAAGGAGUAUACCAGCGGUUUGUAGACGAACCUCUCGAAUUCCUCUGGCUCUGCUUCCCAUUUUGGCUCGCGCUGGGGUUUGGUAAUGGUCGGGGUUUCUCCUCCGCAGCCUUCAUCUCAGCAAUUGUUGGGGGCCCGGAGGAUAAGACGGUUAACGUCUCUGAAUCGUCUCCGCAAACGUUGAUGACUGGAGCUGGAGGAUCAUCCGAGACUUUGAUAGCGGGUACCACACUCCCCGGAGGGGGUGUAACCUCUACGGCUGGCUCCUUUAUGGAUCCAACAAGGCUAUUUCGGGGAGAGUCUCUGGGAGAAUUGCUCUGCGAUUUGAUUCUCCAAGAUGGGUCGAAGCUCACAAUUGGACGGCCAGGACGAUCACUAACAACGGUUGGCAUAGGUAGUUUACUACUACGAUCCUUGAGUCGCAUGCUCGUUGCUGCGCGGAUAUCGUCACCACGGAUUUCUUUACCAUCUUUAGUUUGCGGCGUGUCAUCACCCUUUGGGUUACUAGUGGCAGUGGGUGAGGGAGAUGGAUUUUCUGUAUAAACAGGAUUCCUCGCCUGUGACGGUGGGUUCUUAUGAAUGUCGAAUACAGAUCUCUUGCUGUCAGGAGGGUAUUUCUUGGGAAAUGGUCGAGUGCCUCGAGGCAACGAAUUUCGAGGCUUGACUUUCAAAGCUGAGCUCGGUGGUGCAGUGUCCGUGGUCUCAACAUGAUUUGGUGCCCCGUCCUCCUGUGGUUCCUCGUAUAUUUGAUCUUCUGGAUUUCGGAAAAUGCCCUUCGCUGAAUCGUUACUGGCAAUCCUCGUCCUCGGACUGGCUUUCCUCUGUACGACUGUCCUUGGGGAAUUGGAAGUAUCCGUUUCCAAGGCAAAAUUAACCCUCGGUUUUUGGGUCAGAGUUCCGUUUUUUGUGACCGAGAUGGUUUCAUUAUCCUCUGGAACUUCGACUAUCUUUGGCGAAAGAUUGGACCCGUUUGGGUCCACACGCCUUUGGAACUCGGGGCUUUCUCUGGCUGUACGACCCCCGUUCGAUGAGCUAUCUGAUGCAGAUCUGUGGCUUCUUGACUGGGAAACCCUCUGAUUCCGUUCUUCAGAGGUAUUCAGACUCUGGCCUCGUGCAUACGCGCCCUUUUUCAGAUGCUGACGAGAUUGAUUGGUGGCAAAUAGGUCAGGGUUCAGGUAGGGAGCAUUUGGAUUAAGCUUUGGAAAGCCGGAGGUCUGGUGACUGAAUACCAAUUGCGUAGCUUCCUCCUGGGCUGCAGCAUGCAACCGCUUUUCAUCAUCUCGGAAGUCCAUUUCUUCCAAAGCUUGCCGUAACGACCGUGCUUCCUCUCGUUCCAUCCAUCUCUGGCCCCGUACUCUGUAUGUUCCCGUCGUCGACCUAACACUUGCUGCUGGAGAGAGACUUCUUGAUAAAUCAUACGAUUGUUCCGGCUCUUCUUCCAACGAUUGUUCAGUAGAUACACUUCCAUUGGAAAGUGUUGAGUUUUUCCUGUGGUGUGAUAGAGCACUCGCUGAGCGCUGAUAGGGCUCGAGGGAGGAAACACGAUGGUUUUCUGAGUCAAUGUUCAUGGAAAGUGCUGACGAUGCACGGGGCGGUAGAUCGCUCCUGAGUCUUUGGCUCGAUGAGAUAUUCUUGGUAGGAAAGGGUCGAGAUCCAUUAGGGCGUGGGGGCCUAUUGGUUCGUAGGUCCUUCAGAUACGUCGCUAUUGGUAAGAAACGGGUUAGCAUUGGUGGCUAGAUAGCUCCUUUACCGGAGCGUAGGGGACAUGCGAAGAUAUAAACAACCGCUAUCUCAUGUGGAUACAAUGCCCAUAGCUAUGGUAAGCUGGAAGGGGAACGAGAAUGAAGGACUACCGACCAAUCUGUUCCUCAUUCAUGUAACUUGGCCCUGGAGGUGAGACUUUUCGGGUCCCGUGUUUGGACCUUGAGUGUAUCAUGGUUGCUGGUAGGUUUCACUGAUAUUUGCCCUUAAUAGGGUGAGACCAGAUUAUACUAAACAAUGACGAUAUUGGGAAUUAUUAAAGGCGUAAUGGUGGUUUAUAAUAUAUGGCUGGCUGACUUGGAGCUGAAGAGAACAGCGCUUGGUUGGUAUAGAGCUCCGCAGAGAGCAAAUAUAUAUAAUUGUUGAAUAUGAAGGUUG
rnacentral:sRNA from 1 species